rnacentral:rRNA from 1 species
UACGUAGGCAGCAAGCGUUGUUCGGAAUUACUGGGCGUAAAGGGUGCGUAGGCGGCUUUUUAAGUUUGGUGUGAAAUCUCCCGGCUCAACUGGGAGGGUGCGCCGAAUACUGAGAAGCUAGAGUGAUGGAGAGGGUAGCAGAAUUCCUGGUGUAGAGGUGAAAUUCGUAGAUAUCAGGAGGAACACCGGUGGCGAAGGCGGGUCUCUGGGCCGAUACUGACGCUGAGGAGCGAAAGCAUGGGUAGCGAACAGG